rnacentral:rRNA from 1 species
UACGUAGGAUGCAAGCGUUGUCCGGAAUUAUUGGGCGUAAAGAGUUCGUAGGCGGUUGCCUAAGUCUGGUGUUAAAUACAGGAGCUCAACUCCUGCAUGGCACUGGAAACUGGGCGGCUAGAGUGUGGUAGAGGUCACGGGAAUUCCAGGUGUAGCGGUGAAAUGCGUAGAUAUCUGGAGGAACACCAGUGGCGAAAGCGCGUGACUGGGCCAUAACUGACGCUGAUGCACGAAAGCUGGGGGAGCAAACAGG